AAUAAAACCACCCUUGUCUUGUAUCUGUGACUAUUUAAUAGGUAGUGUGAAUAAAUCCUUUUUUUUUAACCCUUGUACAACUACGCAUGAGUGGAUCAGAGCCCAAACCUAGCCAGCCGUGGUUGACUGAUCAAGGUAACAAUAAGAACACAUUCCACACACAAUACCUCUAGGAGCAUCUUCCAUGUACCCACACGCACACAAUACACAUCCCUGAUAUCUCCACUCUGGUAAGGUAGAUAUUUUGCAUAUUCAUGAGCUUUGGUUUAAAUAAGAAUGGGAAUGAAGUUAAGUUUGAAUGAGUGUGAGGAAAUGAGAUGGUAAUUAGUGGAAGGUUGCUGGAAUUUGAAGGGAAAGUGAGGUAGUUGUCUCCAUGAUUCUGAGCUGUGUACAUGUACAUGUAUUUGCGCCAUCACUCUGCUCUGCUGCAGCGAUUUUUUAUACUUUAGGGUAAUUCAGACCCUAAGAUCUUUUUUCCAAGCAAUCUGGCUUGUGAUAAUUGCAGUGCAGCCAACAUUGAAGAUUUUAGAGUGCUUUUCAAGCAAAUUUGUGCUUGAAUGUGUUUUUAACUUUGGCGUGAGGGAGACAAGUCAGCAACAUCGACCAGCAACCACGGCCUAAUCUGAUCCUACAAUUGACGAGGAUAGAUGCACGAAGGCGACGCCACAGGUACUGAAGUCAAGCCAGAGGGCUGAAGGCAGCUUACAGCAGCAGCAUUUCCAGUGUUUUUAACCGUGGAGUGGGUGGCGAGAACUACCAGGAAGAAGUCAGUUGUUUUUAUGCCUGCAUUUAUGUAAUUGUUUUUUAGAUAGUAUUGUAAUAGUGUAUUUUGAAUUUGCAGUAACGUGAGGACGUGAAACGUCAUCAAAAGUAGGAUAAACUAUUCAAUUUAAAUUUGUGACUUCGUUCACACAGACCCUGCGGGGAGUGGACUGUAACUUACAGAGAACCUAAUAAUUUGGUAGUAUUUGCGGAGAGAAAAUUGAAAUUUGAUUCCACUUAUACAGUGAAGAUUAAGGAGUUUUGUUUUCAUAUAUUUUGGAGAAGUUUAACUUAAUAGUUUGCAGAAGGUUGUGAAUCUUGGGUAGAUUCAACCGUUCGUAAUAGUGUUAUAUUUAUUUUUGUUGGAUAUUUCACCAGUGUAAUUAAUCCCGUAUUCAUUCGUACUUUGGAUGUAAUUGUCCAACACAGCUGGGAUAUUUUCUGUUUAUAUAUUUGAUUGCAAUUUACAAGUGGUGCAUUUGAGAGUAAUUAACUCAAGCUUGAGGUAUUGUUGUAAGUAGGAGUGAUUUUUAAAUUAAUAAAUUAAUUCGGA
rnacentral:lncRNA from 1 species